rnacentral:rRNA from 1 species
UAGCUAGUUGGUGAGGUAAAGGCUUACCAAGGCGACGAUCUGUAGCGGGUCUGAGAGGAUGAUCCGCCACACUGGAACUGAGACACGGUCCAGACUCCUACGGGAGGCAGCAGUGGGGAAUUUUGGACAAUGGGGGCAACCCUGAUCCAGCCAUGCCGCGUGAGUGAAGAAGGCCUUCGGGUUGUAAAGCUCUUUCGGCCGGGAAGAAAUCGCAUGGGCCAAUACCCUGUGUGGAUGACGGUACCGGAAUAAGAAGCACCGGCCAACUACGUGCCAGCAGCCGCGGUAAUACGUAGGGUGCGAGCGUUAAUCGGAAUUACUGGGCGUAAAGCGUGCGCAGGCGGUUUUGUAAGACAGGCGUGAAAUCCCCGGGCUUAACCUGGGAACUGCGUUUGUGACUGCAAGGCUAGAGUACGGCAGAGGGGGGUGGAAUUCCACGUGUAGCAGUGAAAUGCGUAGAGAUGUGGAGGAACACCAAUGGCGAAGGCAGCCCCCUGGGUCGAUACUGACGCUCAUGCACGAAAGCGUGGGUAGCAAACAGGAUUAGAUACCCUGGUAGUCCACGCCCUAAACUAUGUCAACUAGGUGUUGGGUGGGUAAAACCAUUUAGUACCGUAGCUAACGCGUGAAGUUGACCGCCUGGGGAGUACGGCCGCAAGGUUAAAACUCAAAGGAAUUGACGGGGACCCGCACAAGCGGUGGAUGAUGUGGAUUAAUUCGAUGCAACGCGAAAAACCUUACCUACCCUUGACAUGCCAGGAACUUGCCAGAGAUGGCUUGGUGCCCGAAAGGGAGCCUGGACACAGGUGCUGCAUGGCUGUCGUCAGCCCGUGUCGUGAGAUGUUGGGUUAAGUCCCGCAACGAGCGCAACCCUUGUCGUUAAUUGCCAUCAUUUAGUUGGGCACUUUAACGAGACUGCCGGUGACAAACCGGAGGAAGGUGGGGAUGACGUCAAGUCCUCAUGGCCCUUAUGGGUAGGGCUUCACACGUCAUACAAUGGUCGGUACAAAGGGUUGCCAAGCCGCGAGGCGGAGCCAAUCCCAGAAAGCCGAUCGUAGUCCGGAUUGCAGGCUGCAACUCGCCUGCAUGAAGUCGGAAUCGCUAGUAAUCGUGGAUCAGCAUGUCACGGUGAAUACGUUCCCGGGUCUUGUACACACCGCCCGUCACACCAUGGGAGCGGGUUCCGCCAGAAGUAGGUAGCCUAACCGCAAGGGGGGCGCUUACCACGGCGGGGUUCGUGACUGGGGUGAAGUCGUAACAAGGUAGCCGUAGGGGAACCUGCGGCUG